rnacentral:tRNA from 1 species
GCCGGUGUGGUGGAACUGGUAGACGCGGCGGAUUCAAAAUCCGCAGCCUGCAAGGGCGUGGGGGUUCAAGUCCCUCCACCGGCACCA